AGAAAAGGGGUAAAAUGGUCA
rnacentral:siRNA from 1 species